CGAAAGCCUGACGGAGCAAUACCGCGUGAGGGAGGACGGCUUUUGGGUUGUAAACCUCUUUUAUCAGGGAAGAAUCGAUGACGGUACCUGAUGAAUCAGCAUCGGCUAACUCCGUGCCAGCAGCCGCGGUAAUACGGAGGAUGCAAGCGUUAUCCGGAAUUAUUGGGCGUAAAGCGUCCGUAGGUGGUUUAUCAAGUCUGCUGUCAAAGCGUGCGGCUUAACCGCAUAAGGGCAGUGGAAACUGAUGAACUAGAGUGCGAUAGGGGUAACAGGAAUUCCCAGUGUAGCGGUGAAAUGCGUAGAUAUUGGGAAG
rnacentral:rRNA from 1 species